UAGGGAAUCUUCCGCAAUGGACGAAAGUCUGACGGAGCAACGCCGCGUGAGUGAAGAAGGAUUUCGGUUCGUAAAACUCUGUUGUUAGGGAAGAAAAAAUGUAUAGUAACUAUAUACAAAAGAGACGGUACCUAACCAGAAAGCCACGGCUAACUACGUGCCAGCAGCCGCGGUAAUACGUAGGUGGCAAGCGUUGUCCGGAAUUAUUGGGCGUAAAGCGCGCGCAGGUGGUUUAGAAAGUCUGAUGUGAAAGCCCACGGCUCAACCGUGGAGGGUCAUUGGAAACUAAUAAACUGGAGUGCAGGAGAGAAAAGUGGAAUUCCUAGUGUAGCGGUGAAAUGCGUAGAGAUUAGGAGGAACACCGGUGGCGAAGGCGGCUUUUUGGCCUGCAACUGACACUGAGGCGCGAAAGCGUGGGGAGCAAACAGG
rnacentral:rRNA from 1 species